AGUGAACGCUGGCGGCGUGCCUAAUACAUGCAAGUCGAACGAUGAAGCUCUAGCUUGCUAGAGUGGAUUAGUGGCGCACGGGUGAGUAAUGCAUAGAUAACAUGCCCUUUAGUCUAGGAUAGCCAUUGGAAACGAUGAUUAAUACUGGAUACUCCUUACGAGGGAAAGUUUUUCGCUAAAGGAUUGGUCUAUGUCCUAUCAGCUUGUUGGUGAGGUAAUGGCUCACCAAGGCUAUGACGGGUAUCCGGCCUGAGAGGGUGAACGGACACACUGGAACUGAGACACGGUCCAGACUCCUACGGGAGGCAGCAGUAGGGAAUAUUGCUCAAUGGGGGAAACCCUGAAGCAGCAACGCCGCGUGGAGGAUGAAGGUUUUCGGAUUGUAAACUCCUUUUGUUAGAGAAGAUAAUGACGGUAUCUAACGAAUAAGCACCGGCUAACUCCGUGCCAGCAGCCGCGGUAAUACGGAGGGUGCAAGCGUUACUCGGAAUCACUGGGCGUAAAGAGCGCGUAGGCGGGAUAGCAAGUCAGAUGUGAAAUCCUAUGGCUUAACCAUAGAACUGCAUUUGAAACUGUUAUUCUAGAGUAUGGGAGAGGUAGGUGGAAUUCUUGGUGUAGGGGUAAAAUCCGUAGAGAUCAAGAGGAAUACUCAUUGCGAAGGCGACCUGCUAGAACAUAACUGACGCUGAUGCGCGAAAGCGUGGGGAGCAAACAGGAUUAGAUACCCUGGUAGUCCACGCCCUAAACGAUGAAUGCUAGUUGUUGUGGAGCUUGUCUCUGCAGUAAUGCAGCUAACGCAUUAAGCAUUCCGCCUGGGGAGUACGGUCGCAAGAUUAAAACUCAAAGGAAUAGACGGGGACCCGCACAAGCGGUGGAGCAUGUGGUUUAAUUCGAAGAUACACGAAGAACCUUACCUAGGCUUGACAUUGAUAGAAUCCGCUAGAGAUAGUGGAGUGCUAGCUUGCUAGAACUUGAAAACAGGUGCUGCACGGCUGUCGUCAGCUCGUGUCGUGAGAUGUUGGGUUAAGUCCCGCAACGAGCGCAACCCUCGUCCUUAGUUGCUAACUAUUCGGUAGAGCACUCUAAGGAGACUGCCUUCGCAAGGAGGAGGAAGGUGAGGAUGACGUCAAGUCAUCAUGGCCCUUACGCCUAGGGCUACACACGUGCUACAAUGGGAAGCACAAAGAGAUGCAAUAUUGUGAAAUGGAGCAAAUCUAUAAAACUUCUCUCAGUUCGGAUUGUAGUCUGCAACUCGACUACAUGAAGCUGGAAUCGCUAGUAAUCGUAAAUCAGCUAUGUUACGGUGAAUACGUUCCCGGGUCUUGUACUCACCGCCCGUCACACCAUGGGAGUUGUAUUCGCCUUAAGUCGGAAUGCCAAACUGGCUACCGCCCACGGCGGAUGCAGCGACUGGGGUGAAGUCGUAACAAGGUAACCGUAGGUGAACCUGCGGUUGGAUCACCUCCUUUCAAGAGAAAAGACUAAAGAUUCGUUUCUUUUAGUUUAAGUUGUUCUUUUCCUGCUUAGUUUUCAGAGAUUAUUUAACUUUAAAGUAGGGGCUUAUAGCUCAGGUGGUUAGAGCGCACCCCUGAUAAGGGUGAGGUCGGAGGUUCAAGUCCUCCUAAGCCCACCAGAAAUUGUUCUUUAUUGAUACUUUUUGCAGAGUAUGAGAUUUUUUUCAGUCAUUACCUUAUGAGGUAGCUCUUUUUAAAAUUUCUAAUACAACUACAAAAAUCAUUCAAAAAUAAUCAAUUUUAAUUAUUAAACUACCCUAUUAUGGGGAAUUAGCUCAGCUGGGAGAGCGCCUGCUUUGCACGCAGGAGGUCAGCGGUUCGAUCCCGCUAUUCUCCACCAAAAUUAAUGCAUCAUUGGUGUAGUCAAUACAAUAAAAAGAUUCUAAUGUAAGUAUUUAAUAAUCCAUUCUUUUUUAUGCUUAGCAUAGAAUAGGAUUAAAAGAAAGUUAGAAGUAAAAGAAAACAAAAGAAAAACUUCAAACUUCCCUUUAGUGUUUUUAUAAAUCUUUACAUUAGAAUCCUAAAAAAGAUUCUAAAUGUUCUUACACAACUCAUUGUUAAAGCCUAAAAUAAGUAAUAACUACAAUCACGCAAAUAACCAAGAUUGUUUUAAUGGAUUUACAUUCAUUAAGGCAGUGGCGUUAAAGAAUACAAAGUCAGUUAAGCUUGUAAAGGGCAAAUGGUGGAUGCCUUGGGUAGUAGAGGCGAUGAAGGACGUACUAGACUGCGAUAAGCUAUGGGGAGCUGUCAAGAAGCUUUGAGCCAUAGAUUUCCGAAUGGGGCAACCCAAUGUGUAGCAAUACACAUUACCUUAAAUGGAGCGAACCUAGCGAAGUGAAACAUCUCAGUAGCUAGAGGAAAAGAAAUCAAACGAGAUUCUCUUAGUAGCGGCGAGCGAACGGGGAAAAGGGCAAACCCAAUGCUUGCAUUGGGGGUUGAGGACUGCAAUAUCCACUGGAAUACUCUAAUAGAACAUUUUGGAAAGAAUAGCCAUAGAGGGUGAUAGUCCCGUAUAUGAAAGAGUAUUUCUAGGUAGCAGUAUCCAGAGUAGGUCAGGGCACGUGAAACCCGGACUGAAGCAGGGGAGACCACUCUCCAACCCUAAAUACUACUACUACACCGAUAGCGAACC
rnacentral:rRNA from 1 species